rnacentral:rRNA from 1 species
GAUGAACGCUGGCGGCGUGCCUAAUACAUGCAAGUCGAGCGAACAGACGAGGAGCUUGCUCCUCUGACGUUAGCGGCGGACGGGUGAGUAAUACGUGGAUAACCUACCUAUAAGACUGGGGUAACUUCGGGAAACCGGAGCUAAUACCGGAUAAUAUAUUGAACCGCAUGGUUCAAUAGUGAAAGACGGUUUUGCUGUCACUUAUAGAUGGAUCCGCGCCGCAUUAGCUAGUUGGUAAGGUAACGGCUUACCAAGGCGACGAUGCGUAGCCGACCUGAGAGGGUGAUCGGCCACACUGGAACUGAGACACGGUCCAGACUCCUACGGGAGGCAGCAGUAGGGAAUCUUCCGCAAUGGGCGAAAGCCUGACGGAGCAACGCCGCGUGAGUGAUGAAGGUCUUCGGAUCGUAAAACUCUGUUAUUAGGGAAGAACAAAUGUGUAAGUAACUAUGCACGUCUUGACGGUACCUAAUCAGAAAGCCACGGCUAACUACGUG